rnacentral:rRNA from 1 species
ACAACUCCCAAACCCCUGUGAACAUACCUUAAUGUUGCCUCGGCGGAUCAGCCCGCGCCCCGUAAAACGGGACGGCCCGCCAGAGGACCCAAACUCUAAUGUUUCUUAUUGUAACUUCUGAGUAAAACAAACAAAUAAAUCAAAACUUUCAACAACGGAUCUCUUGGUUCUGGCAUCGAUGAAGAACGCAGCAAAAUGCGAUAAGUAAUGUGAAUUGCAGAAUUCAGUGAAUCAUCGAAUCUUUGAACGCACAUUGCGCCCGCUGGUAUUCCGGCGGGCAUGCCUGUUCGAGCGUCAUUUCAACCCUCAAGCCCUCGGGUUUGGUGUUGGGGAUCGGCUCUGCCUUCUGGCGGUGCCGCCCCCGAAAUACAUUGGCGGUCUCGCUGCAGCCUCCAUUGCGUAGUAGCUAACACCUCGCAACUGGAACGCGGCGCGGCCAUGCCGUAAAACCCCAACUUCUGAAUGUUGACCUCGGAUCAGGUAGGAAUACCCGCUGAACUUAAGCAUAUCAAUAAGCGGAGGAAAAGAAACCAACAGGGAUUGCCCUAGUAACGGCGAGUGAAGCGGCAACAGCUCAAAUUUGAAAUCUGGCUUUCGGGCCCGAGUUGUAAUUUGUAGAGGAUACUUYUGAUGCGGUGCCUUCCGAGUUCCCUGGAACGGGACGCCAUAGAGGGUGAGAGCCCCGUCUGGUYGGAUGCCAAAUCUCUGUAAAGUUCCUUCGACGAGUCGAGUAGUUUGGGAAUGCUGCUCUAAAUGGGAGGUAUAUGUCUUCUAAAGCUAAAUAUUGGCCAGAGACCGAUAGCGCACAAGUAGAGUGAUCGAAAG